rnacentral:misc_RNA from 1 species
CAAAUUUCUUUUCAAUUCCGAUUUACGUAGACAGACCUCAAACUAGAACACCCGCGAAAAGCCACCAUUACAAGAACUUUAGCGCAUCUGCAUGUGAGAAGCUUUUUCUAUUCUCACAUGAACUUCUAUAUUCAAUUUCACUCAUUAUUUGCAUCAAUCUGCAUGCUUUUUGCCCUGAAUCUGGUGGGAUUUGGUUUGUUGCAGCCUAAUGGGUUGUAUGCGAGAUAAAAUUGCUAUUUAUGUUGACAAUGGCACGAUAACUCUGGGGGAGCCAGGAUUGUUAAGUGAAGGUUCUGUUGAAUAUGGGUCGCCUUCGAUUGCUAGGGUCACUAGUGGAGAAUCAUCAUCAACACUGUAGAGGAAGAAUAAGAAGAAGAUGAAAAAGAAGUUCGCAUCCUUGCAAUCAUCGUCUAAUUCGUCUAAAAGCGCAGCAACCUUAGGUGAAUUGGACCUUGAGGAGCGGAGAAAUUCAGUGAAGUCAUGUGGGAACCAGCUGCUUUGCACGUCUGAUCUAGAGAUAUUUGAGAUAAUGGAGAAGGAAAGAGAGAGGCAGUAUAGGGCUCUUGAAUUGAUAGCUUCAGAGAAUUUUCUUUCCCUUCAUUCUUUCUUUCCCUUCCUUCUUUGCCCUCUAAUUCCUCUUCUUUAUUCUUCUUUUUCUUUAACAGAAUUAUUCCCUUUAGAGAAUGGAAACGAUUUUGAUCUCUGAUCUGAAUCAAGCGAUUGCAGCAUCACCCCUACUUCAACAACCCAGCCCUUUCCAAGGUAAAGUAGUAGGUCAUGAUCGGUGAAGUGAAUGAUCAACCAGUGUGUAAGUGCGCUGUUAUUUUCACACCCACCAUCUCCUGAUCCUUUUGAUGAACCAAUAGAACUGCCCAUUUUUUUUUGGGUACUAUUGCAGAAUGUUCAAUUACUACAGCAUUAUCUGGAAAUAGUUUUUCCAACAUCCUUGAGAAAGGAAGGCAGGGUGAUCUUCAAUCCAAAAAAAAAAUAAAAAAAAAAAAAAAA